GAUGAACGCUGGCGGCGUGCCUAAUACAUGCAAGUCGAGCGAACAGACGAGGAGCUUGCUCCUCUGACGUUAGCGGCGGACGGGUGAGUAACACGUGGAUAACCUACCUAUAAGACUGGGAUAACUUCGGGAAACCGGAGCUAAUACCGGAUAAUAUAUUGAACCGCAUGGUUCAAUAGUGAAAGACGGUUUUGCUGUCACUUAUAGAUGGAUCCGCGCCGCUUUAGCUAGUUGGUAAGGUAACGGCUUACCAAGGCAACGAUGCGUAGCCGACCUGAGAGGGUGAUCGGCCACACUGGAACGGAGACACGGUCCAGACUCCUACGGGAGGCAGCAGUAGGGAAUCUUCCGCAAAGGGCGAAAGCCUGACGGAGCAACGCCGCGUGAGUGAUGAAGGUCUUCGGAUCGUAAAACUCUGUUAUUAGGGAAGAACAAAUGUGUAAGUAACUAUGCACGUCUUGACGGUACCUAAUCAGAAAGCCACGGCUAACUACGUG
rnacentral:rRNA from 1 species